rnacentral:rRNA from 1 species
CGUAGGGUGCGAGCGUUAAUCGGAAUUACUGGGCGUAAAGUGUGCGCAGGUGGCCGCGCAUGUCGAGUGUGAAAUCCCCGGGCUUAACUUGGGAAUUGCGCUCGAAACUACGUGGCUAGAGUGUGGCAGAGGAAGGUGGAAUUCCACGUGUAGCGGCGAAAUGCGUAGAGAUGUGGAGGAACACCGAUGGCGAAGGCAGCCUUCUGGGCCAACACUGACGCUCAUGCACGAAAGCGUGGGGAGCAAACAGGAUUAGAUACCCUGGUAGUCCACGCCCUAAACGAUGAUGACUAGUUGUUGGAGGAGUUAAAUCCUUUAGUAACGCAGCUAACGCGUGAAGUCAUCCGCCUGGGGAGUACGGUCGCGAGAUUA